rnacentral:rRNA from 1 species
GAUGAACGCUGGCGGCGUGCCUAAUACAUGCAAGUCGAGCGAACAGACGAGAGUGCUUGCACUCUCUGACGUUAGCGGCGGACGGGUGAGUAACACGUGGGUAACCUACCUAUAAGACUGGGAUAACUUCGGGAAACCGGAGCUAAUACCGGAUAAUAUUUAGCUUCGCAUGAAGCAAUAGUGAAAGACGGUUCUGCUGUCACUUAUAGAUGGACCCGCGGUGUAUUAGCUAGUUGGUGAGGUAACGGCUCACCAAGGCAACGAUACAUAGCCGACCUGAGAGGGUGAUCGGCCACACUGGGACUGAGACACGGCCCAGACUCCUACGGGAGGCAGCAGUAGGGAAUCUUCCGCAAUGGACGGAAGUCUGACGGAGCAAUGCCGCGUGAGUGAAGAAGGUUUUCGGAUCGUAAAACUCUGUUGUAAGGGAAGAACAAGUACGUUAGUAACUGAACGUACCUUGACGGUACCUUACCAGAAAGCCACGGCUAACUACGUG